UAGGGAAUCUUCGGCAAUGGACGAAAGUCUGACCGAGCAACGCCGCGUGAGUGAAGAAGGUUUUCGGAUCGUAAAACUCUGUUGUUAGAGAAGAACAAGGACGUUAGUAACUGAACGUCCCCUGACGGUAUCUAACCAGAAAGCCACGGCUAACUACGUGCCAGCAGCCGCGGUAAUACGUAGGUGGCAAGCGUUGUCCGGAUUUAUUGGGCGUAAAGCGAGCGCAGGCGGUUUCUUAAGUCAGAUGUGAAAGCCCCCGGCUCAACCGGGGAGGGUCAUUGGAAACUGGGAGACUUGAGUGCAGAAGAGGAGAGUGGAAUUCCAUGUGUAGCGGUGAAAUGCGUAGAUAUAUGGAGGAACACCAGUGGCGAAGGCGGCUCUCUGGUCUGUAACUGACGCUGAGGCUCGAAAGCGUGGGGAGCAAACAGG
rnacentral:rRNA from 1 species